rnacentral:rRNA from 1 species
AGAACGAACGCUGGCGGCAGGCUUAACACAUGCAAGUCGAACGGUUGUAGCAAUACAGCAGUGGCAGACGGGUGAGUAACACGUGGGAACCUUCCUAGGGGUACGGAACAACUCAGGGAAACUUGAGCUAAUACCGUAUACGUCCGUGAGGAGAAAGAUUUAUCGCCCCUAGACGGGCCCGCGUAGGAUUAGGUAGUUGGUGAGGUAACGGCUCACCAAGCCUACGAUCCUUAGCUGAUCUGAGAGGAUGAUCAGCCACACUGGGACUGAGACACGGCCCAGACUCCUACGGAGGCAGCAGUGGGGAAUCUUGGACAAAUGGGCGCAAGCCUGAUCCAGCCAUGCCGCGUGAGGUGAAGAAGGCCUUCGGGUUGUAAAGCUUCUUUUACCAGGGACGAAUAAAUGAACGUACCGUAGAGAAUAAGACCCCGACAAACUCGCGCCGACGACACGCCGAC